rnacentral:rRNA from 1 species
AAACCAACAGGGAUUGCCCCAGUAAUGGCGAAUGAAGCGGCAAGAGCCCAAAUUUGAAAUCGGGCAACCGAGUUGUAAUUUGGAGACGGGACACUAGAGAGGAGGAAGGCGAUUAAGUGCCUUGGAACAGGCUGCCGUAGAGGGUGAGAGCCCCGUGAAUCGCUGGAGACCGAUCAAUUAGUGCCCGCCGAAGAGUCGAGUUGUUUGGGAAUGCAGCUCUAAGUGGGUGGUAUAUUCCAUCUAAGGCUAAAUAUUAGCGAGAGACCGAUAGCAAACAAGUACAGUGAUGGAAAGAUGAAAAGAACUUUGGAAAGAGAGUGAAAUAGUACGUGAAAUUGUUGAAAGGGAAGGGUAUUUGAUCCGACAUGGUGUUUAGCAGCGGCCCGUUCCUCGUGGAUGGGUGCACCUGGUUUACACUGGGCCAGCAUCGGUUCUGGGAGCCAUAUACGGGGUUCGUGAAUGUGGCCCUUCGAUUCUGUCGGAGGGUGUUAUAGCGCGGACAUCUUGUGGCUAGCCGGGACCGGGGACUGCGGUGACU